rnacentral:rRNA from 1 species
AUGGAGUAUCAGCCAAUCAUAUCUGCACUCGACGUCCGCACCGAGCCCAUCACCAUCGACGCACUCUUCUCGCUGGUGGCCAACUUCGAUCAACGCGUUGAGAUGUUCCAUGGGAACGGCGCUGGUGGCUUCAAGUCAUCGGCGAACGCUGCCUCCAGAGGUCGCUCCGGUGGCGGCAGAGGUGGCUACCGCAACCAGAACCAGAAGAACGGCGGUCGCGGCGGCUAUCCUGGCGGCCGCGGUCCAAAUCCUAACGACGGCGACUACCCUGGCGGUGGCGGAGGUGGCUACGGCGCUGGUGGCAGUGGCUACCCUGGCGCUGGCAGCGGCGGCUACAACAACGGUGGUGGCUCUGGUGGCUACUACUAG